AGGAUAAAAAAAAUUAAUUUGCAAUUAAUAAAUAUUGAAAAAUCAAUUUAUCUUA
rnacentral:tRNA from 1 species